UGAUGGCAAAGGACCAUUCCUUGCCUCAAUGAGCUAUUAUGUGGAGCCACGUCGUGAUCUCCAUUGAUUGGCCCAUGUCCUUCAACGUAGGGAUCCUACCGGUUGUAGUUUGUCAAUUCCUGCCAUCAUAGUCGUAGAUCUACAAAUGAAGGAACUUGAAAGUCAGAGUCUUAUUCGAGUCUUCAAAUCAAAGCUCUCAAUGAAAGCACCAAUUUGUGGAUGCAAAUUUUCGCCGUCUCUUUCUUUGGAUGAAAAUGCACCUGUAAAAUAAUAACACCUAAGAUUAAGGCCAAAAGCCUCAUGCGCCCACGAUGAAUGAGGGUGCUUUGGCCAAAGAAUCUCCAAUGCCAAAGUUAGAAUUUUGAAAAGAAUGUGUUUAAAAGUUUGCGGGUAGCAAAAGCCUCCUGAAUUUUAGAGAUAAAGUGGGUAUUUAUAGAAGAUGAGAGGAGUAUGGGCUGGCCCU
rnacentral:lncRNA from 1 species